rnacentral:miRNA from 1 species
UGUAUGUAUAUGUAUGUGUGUGUGUGUGUGUGUACACACACACACACACACACAUACACAUACACA